rnacentral:rRNA from 1 species
UACGGAGGGUGCGAGCGUUGUCCGGAAUCACUGGGCGUAAAGGGCGCGUAGGUGGCGUCGCAAGUCAACGGUGAAAGCUCGACGCUCAACGUCGAGUCGGCCGUCGAGACUGCGAGGCUUGAGCACUGUAGAGGCAGAUGGAAUUCCGGUGUAGCGGUGGAAUGCGUAGAGAUCCGGAAGAGCACCGGUGGCGAAGGCGGUCUGCUGGGCAGUUGCUGACACUGAGGCGCGACAGCGUGGGGAGCAAACAGG